rnacentral:tRNA from 1 species
GCCGACGUAGCUCAGUCGGUAGAGCGCGUCCUUGGUAAGGACGAGGUCACCGGUUCAAUCCCGGUCGUCGGCU